GACGAACCGAGCGAACGUUAUUCGGAAUCACUGGGCUUAAAGGGCGCGUAGGCGGGCUGCCAAGUCAAGGGUGAAAGCCCCCGGCUCAACCGGGGAAGUGCCUCUGAUACUGGCGGCCUCGAGGGAGGUAGGGGCGUGCGGAACUUCCGGUGGAGCGGUGAAAUGCGUAGAUAUCGGAAGGAACACCGGUGGCGAAAGCGGCGCGCUGGACCUCUUCUGACGCUGAGGCGCGAAAGCCAGGGGAGCAAACGGG
rnacentral:rRNA from 1 species